GGUAGAAUAGCUCAGUUGGAUACCUUGGCUUAGAGCAUCUCACAUGACAUGAGAAGGCGGUAGGUUCGAUUCCUGCUUUCCAACA